UCGCUAUUAGAUGAGCCUACGUUAGAUUAGCUAGUUGGUAAGGUAAUGGCUUACCAAGGCUAUGAUCUAUAGCUGGUCUGAGAGGACGAUCAGCCACACUGGAACUGAGAUACGGUCCAGACUCCUACGGGAGGCAGCAGUGGGGAAUAUUGGACAAUGGGCGAAAGCCUGAUCCAGCUAUGCCGCGUGAGUGAAGAAGGCCUUCGGGUUGUAAAACUCUUUCAAUAGGGAAGA
rnacentral:rRNA from 1 species